rnacentral:tRNA from 1 species
GGCUUCGUAGCUCAGCUGGUAGAGCGCUUGCCGUGUUGAGACACGGUGUUUCUGUCGCUGGUUUGAAUCCAGUCGAAACCC